GAAGGAAGAGACACCCUUGUGCUUAAAACUCGUGCUUGAACCUUCAAACGAGAGGCGAGAUUUUUGUGAGUUUAUAAAGGAGUGGACCCGCACCUAGUUGCGGACCAAGAAUACUCAAGAGGAAUGGGCCCACCUUCGGCGCGGCCCGAACAUUUAACAAGCGAGAGAGAGAUGAGAUAAAUUUGAUAGGCCUGAUGGACCCAUGCUUAAGCGCAGGCCUAGAGUUUGUCACAAAUAGAGAGAGAGAGAGAGCGAGAUGGAAAGGUUAUGACAAGGUCGCACCUAGGAGCGUGCCUGGGAGCUUGUGACGAAUUGAGAGAGAGAUAGAAAGGUUUUGACGGGGCUGUGCCUAGGCGUGUACCUGGGAACUUGUGACGAAUCGAGAGAGAGAGAUAUGGAAAGGUUUUGAUGGGGACGAGCCUAGGCACAUGCCCAAAGAGGUUAUAGUGUAUAAGAGAGAGAGAGGGGGGGUUUUCAUCCCCCAAAGUGAAUUGGGUUUUUAGUUUUUACUUCUCCUCUUUCACCACCCCCACCUUUCUUCACUUUUUGAGAGAGAGAAAAAGGUGUUUCGAAACCAUGGCUAGCACUAGCUCCUCCCAACCUCAAGCAAAAAUACUUGAUGUGAACCAAUUGCCUCGCUCUGGAGAGUUGGGGACCAAUACUUAUACGGGUGCUGCCUUUACCCGAUCUACUACCCUUGGCAUUCUUGAAAUCACCCAGAAGUUGAAAUGGACUUUGCGCAUUACCUAUGUAGGAGGGGAUGCUCAGAUCUGCAGAUAUGAAGAUGUCGAUGGGGAGCUCAUAUUUCAAGGGGAUAGUGUUCCCAUUUAUCAUACUCUCCAUAGAUUUUUCACUCCAGUGAGAAUCUUCCUACUCUGGGGAAGAGAAUGUUAGAGAAUCCAGGUCUUCAUUGGGUCUCCGGUGGGCUCCGUUUUGAAGGGGAGCACUAGUAUAUGCGAGGAUAUAGCACCUGAACAUUUAACGUCCGUGAUUUGCACGCCAAUGUCUUAGAAGUGUGUAGAUUGGCUGCAGCAUGUCAGUGCUUGGCUGGAGAUUAUGACCGAUUUUCCAAUACUAGCAUAGCUUUAUUGGAAACAUGGUGUUACAAGACCAACAACUGGCACUUUGACUAUGGUGAAGGAGGAAUCACCCUUCUCGACAUGUAUUCAUUUGUGGGUUGCCAAUGCUGGGGGGCAUGUAUGAAGAAUUCAUACCUAGUAAUGAAGUGAUUUUUAGAAAUCAGCCAAUUAAUGGUGAAUUGCCCCCUCCUUGUCUCCUUGAGUUGUUUGAAAUUUACCUACUCUUGCACUCGAAGACCAAGCUCAAAUCCAAAGGGGUGCAUUGUGAUGCUUGGAGAGACGUUUUCCAUAGGAAUUGCCAAGACUGAGGGGAAAUCAGCUCUACUAUCAUCUGGGCAAAGGGUAGAAGCCGCGAAGGAUGCCAAGAGUCCUAUAGUCCCCCUCAGAAGAUCUGAAAGAGAUCAUAUAUAUUUGGUUGCUUACUUGGUCCUCUUUUUAUGUAAAUUUGCAUUGCCAAGGUCAAGGAGCAAUAUCAUUCGGCCAGGCUGCUUCUUCGUAGCCUGCAGGCUUGCCCAAGGACGUCAAUAUGCCCUCGCCCAGCCAGUUCUUUGUAGCAUUUACCAUGGCUUAGGAGCUAUUGCACAUGGUAAAGCUCCUUCAAGGGAUAGUAAGAGCAAGUCCUUUGCUUGAAAGGCCCUUCCUGGCUAUUUCUCAACUGGUUUCCCAGUUCAUUGCAUUUUCAGCUGGCUCUCUGCAUACUUCCCCAAGAUAGGAACUGAACCCUACAUACCUAGAGCGUAUGAGAUUAACGAGAGCCUCCAGGGUAUGCUUGCCGUCAUAUGCUAAGAAUUGUUGGGAUGAAAGCCAUCUUUAGGUGGCCAGGGGAACCACGUAGAUUCCUGGCAGACAUCUCUUUCUUCUCUCGUGGGAGACCCUUUCUUGUAGGCUAUCCCACUGAUUGUGUCUAUACAGAGGCCUUGGUGGUAUCUUUGAUGGACACACCACUGAAACAAAGGAGAUUAUGUACCUCUUGAGUGUGAGAGGCUGAAUUUUUCCAUAUAGGGGGGUUGGAGACAGAAAACUUGAAAGUUCGCACACCAGCAUGGCUUGGACCAAGGAUGCUGCUUCAUUGUGCUCUUCGAAAAGAAAAAUGGGAAAAAGGGAUCACAGCAAGAUCUUGAAGCUCCAGGCAAGUCUUGGACUGAUAGCAACGUGAGGAUGACCUGGGAAACCUGUCUUGGUCCUUUUAGCCUGAGCACAUUUGUAGUCCCCCAUUAUGGUCAGGUAGGUCAUGCUACUGAAGGUUACUGGCAGUGGUGGAAUGUCAUCGACCGCUAUUACUGGUGAGCGGACCAUACAUUGAAGGCUGUCAACAGUACCAAACAUGACAGCAGGGUCAGGAGACACUUCGUUCCUCCAUCCUUCCCCAGGGUUCACAAGAUUGACUACCCCUUGAGCUGGAGGGAACUUGUCAAACCUCAAUUUCUGAGCACGGACCUUACUGGCGUUGAUUACCUCUCUCUCGAAGGUGAAACCAGGUCUUCAUUUGACGACCUUUGUUCCAUCUUUCAAUGGGUUAUUGGUCGUGCAGCCCUUAGUCACGAGGGUCGUCCGAUCCAAGUUCCUAAUGCUUUAAUUAGAAGUGGACCUCACUCUGCCUCCAGCUACUAGACCUCACCAUGGCAAGAAGGUCCAAGAUACUCCUGAAGUAAUCCCAGAGGAAGGGCUAAAGAAGAAAGCGGUCAGGAGAAAGAAGGGUGCAGAGAGUUUUGAACCCAGCACAACUACAAAGCCUAAAAUUACCAAGAAGAGUACUCGUCUGAGUAAGAGGGCCUUGACGAGCUCAGAUGCACUUCCCUUGACACCAGCUACUUUGAGUAAAGGGAUUGGAUGUGCCUCUUAGGCCGAGGAAGCAUUCAAAGACAAAGGCUUCUCCUAUCCCGGUCUUGUCGCCAGAGGUAUUGACCCCUAUUCAAGAGACAAUCCCUGAGACUGUGGUGGUUGAAUCGAGUGCAUCUGAUCAUAUAUCGAAGAGUGCUCCUCUUCCUCCAGUAGAGAUAGCGAUAUCUCCAACUGAUAGUCCUGUCGAGCCUGUAACAGUCCAAUCUUCGACUCGUUCUUCCUUGAGUCAGGGAGACUUUUUCUGCACCGUCAUUGCGGAAGGAGAUAUCCUUGACAUUGAAACCAUUAGGGAAGCUCCAGGGGACAAGGGUGGGCAUUCCUGAAGUAUUUGUCCCCGUCUCCUCGGAAGCAGAACAUUAGCGGGCUAUUUCUUAUGGAACUUCUUUGGAACUCAGGGUGGUUCCUAUUUCAGAAGUGUCUGCCUUAGCGACUCUAAAUGUAGAGGCUUUAUCUGAGCCUAUCAUUCCUUCAAGUGAUCCCUUGGCUCUUGUUUCUCAAGAACCAGUUGCCAUUGCUGAAGUUCUUCCUUUUGUUACUAUAGGCUCUCCUUAUGUGCUUUCCUUGGCAUCGAUUAGGAAGGCUUUGGUUGUGAGAGACCUGUUACAAUCAAGUCUCCAGGGAGUAAAGGAAUGCUCCCUCUCUGAACUUGCAGUUGAGAUAGGUGUAGUCAGGGACUGCACAGCUACUUUGAGGGUGGUCAACUAUGAUAAGGAGACCUUUGAUCGGUUUGAAGGUCUUCUGAAGGACCUUGAAUAAUCAGGAGUCGAAGCUUUGUGACGUGAGUCCAAGAUACGAGUAGCAUAUAGGACUCGCCUGGCCUCUGCAGAGGAGACUUUGGCUUAACAUCAAAGUCUCAUGAGAAAUUAUGAGGAGAAGGCCCCUCUUCUUUCUUUCCAAGCUAGCUUCAAGGAGGCAGAUGCAGCCCGUUCUGCAGAGAUAAAGACUGCAGAGGAGGAAAGAGAAAGGUUGGACCUCCAUAUUCACCAAUUGAAGUCUGAUCAAACAUAAAAGAGAAUAGAGGCUCACAGCAAGCUUGAGAAAUUGGAGACUCUGAAUUCCAAGGUGGCUUCAAUCAGCACUACGUCAAACCAAGUUAGGUAGACAAUCUCCCACGUCAAAGAGCAGAUGUAGAUAGCUUCAGAAUCUUUGGUGGCACUGAAGAUCAAGAUUCAUGAAGCCCUUGGAAACUUCUAGGGGCUCAUGAAAUCUUUUAUCUUUCUGCUUUUUCUAUGUUCUUUUCUUUCUUUUUGUGGGUUUUUGAUAACUGUUACUACAAAAUUUUGUAACCUCUCUCUUUCUUCUUAUCUUUGGCUCGUGUACUUCUCUUGA